CUGGUGCCAGGGAGGGGAAAUUUUCCUAACAAAUAGGAAACAUCUUGAGCUUCUGGGCAAUGACUUUCUAAUAAGAUCCUAGGAAUUGAGCAAGUGUGUCCAGACAUGCACAGUAAGGAGCAAAAUGGCAGUUUGGCUGGUAUAUGACCUUCCUCUGGGGGCGCUAGACCAGUAAGGGAAAAUUUCCCUAAGAGAGCAUGUCUUUAGUUUCAACUACCCAAUGGCACAUGCGGCCCCUCCCAAAUACUGGGGAGUCACUGCACAUACGGCAGCUAGCCAACAGCCCGCCCAAGGGGAAGGAGGAAGGGAGAAGACCAAGAAAAACAAACAGGAAAUAGUAAAUCUAUAAGAUUCCUGAGCCAAAGAUGGGGGGCAUUCAACCUUCCUAGUUGCCCAGUGUACUUUUCUUUGCUUCAAUAAACUCUCGUUUCUUCCUCAAAUCUACAUCUGUCUCUUGGUCGAAUCCAAGAAGACAAGAACCAAUGACUGAAGACACCUCCUAGACUUGCUGCUGGUAACAAAAUGAGAACCACUGCAAAAGGUAAAUCAUAAAUCAACACAAGGAAGAUAUACAUUGGUUCAGCCCAAAAUGGUGGGACAUCUCGAAGCAAGAGCUUACAAGUCAUAGGUUGCUGACUUCUUAGGUGUGACCACAAAUGAAGUGACCUGGCCUGAGGGUCCAUUUCUUCCAGAAGGAAUCCAUAUGAAAGAAGUAACUGCCCUCAGCAACAACUUUUAUAAAUAAGACUGAC